UUACACAAUUGGUUAUUUUUUAGUUUUCUUACCGAGUCUUCAUUUUGCCUCUAAACGCUGGCUGUUCAUCGAAAAUCUUGAGUUUGUGUGCCUGGAAAAGUAUUGGAUAUGGCUUAUGCUGCUUUACUUUCACUUACUCAGACACUAGAACAGAUCCUGGGUUCUCGCAAUGAAAUUCGAAUUUUUCAUGAUGAGAAACAGAUCAGAUCUUUCCAUGAAAAUCUUUGCUUCUUGCUAUCAUUUCUGGAAGAUUUUUCACCCAGAAAUACUGAAUCAAUUAAAUGUUUGGAAGCAAGAAUCAGAGAUGCAACAUAUGAAGCAGAGGACAUAACUGAAUUGCAUAUGUCAAAUCCGAUUCUCUCGGAUUCUGCUUGUCAAGGAGUUAUCACUUGUUUAUGGGAAAUAAUUUCUGCACUCCAAAUUAUGAUGCCCGUGUUCCGUAAUUCUGAAAGGCGCAUGGAAUUUAAGAAACACAAUUUUAAGGAGAUAUAUGACGGCUUACAGAAGAUAAUAAAAGAGAUUGAUUCCAUUUCGGAAGAGGUGGAGAAGAUGAAGGCCAUGAAGGACAUAGAAGGUUUCAGUGCUGAUGGCUUGACGCGAAUUAAUGAUCCGCUUAGUGGAAUAGAAGGCAUUGAAGAGGUGGUGAAUGCUAAUGACCGAAAUGACGUACUAGAUCUGCAACCAAGGAACUCUUUGAAUGCCACUUCAUCAAAAUCUGCUUCCACUAACAAGAAGUUCAUGGUGGGAUUCGAAGAUGACUUGCUCCAAAUUAAGGAAGAACUGGUUGGGCAAUCCUCUAGGUUGAAAUUCAUUUCUAUCGUUGGGAUGGGAGGCAUUGGCAAGACCACACUUGCAAGAAAUAUUUACAAUGAUUCAUCUAUUGAGUAUCACUUCUACAUUCGGGCCUGGAUAACUGUGUCUCAGGAAUAUCAUGUGCAAGAACUGCUUGAACACCUUCUAAAAUCCAUGGGAGACUUCACUGAAGAAAUGAUUCGAGAGGAAACAGAUGAAUUGAAAACACGAGUAUAUCAACGUUUGAAGGGCUAUAGAUAUCUCAUUGUUAUGGAUGAUUUGUGGGAUGACAAAAUCUUAGAUGAAUUUAGAAGGAUAUUCCCGGAUGACGAUAAUGGAAGUCGGGUAAUUUUGACAUCUCGGCUAUCCAGUGUCACUGUUAAUGUCGACUCUUCUGCCUGUAUUCACCAUCUGGGUUUUCUAAGUCCCAAACAAAGCUGGAGUCUUCUGUGCCAGAAGGCCUUUGGGAACGAAUGUUGUCCCCCUGAAAUCGAGGAAACUGGAUGGAGAAUAGCAGAAAAAUGCAGAGGACUUCCACUUGCACUUGUAGUAAUUGGUGGUGUCCUCUACAAAGCGGAGAAGACACGAGCCAAUUGGGAGUAUGUUGCAGAAAAUGUGAAAUCUGCAGUCACUGGAAAUGAUGAUGAUUUCAUGGAAAUACUGUCUUGGAGUUACGACCACUUGCCUCAUCGUCUUAGAGCAUGUUUCCUUUAUAUGGGAGUUUUCCCUGAAGAUUAUGUGAUCCAUGUCUCCCAUCUUAUCAGGCUAUGGGUUGCUGAGGGAUUUUUAAAGCCAAACACACAUAAAAGUUUGGAGGAAGUGGCAAAGGAGUAUUUGGAAGAACUUAUUGAUAGAAAUCUAAUUGUGGUUCGUGACCAGAAUUACAUUGGGAAAAUCAAAACCUGCAGCAUCCAUGACAUGAUGAGAGAACUUUGCAUGAGGAAAGCUCAGGAGGAGAAGUUUCUUUAUGUCGCCAAUCAAGAAUUUGAUAUUUCUUCGGAAGUCGUGAAAAAUCAGCGUCACCUAAGUAUUCAUCCGAAUGGGCAGAAUGCAGUCAUAUAUGACUCAACUAUCCGUUCACUUCUAUACUUAACGGAUAGUCCAUUGCCAAAUUCUCUAUGUUUUCAGCUGCUCAGGGUGUUGGAAGCAGGAAAUAUAAAUUUCUGUGAUUUUCCAAUUGAAAUAGUAAAACUUGUUAAUUUAAGGUAUAUUGCUUUGUCCUACAGUGGGAAAUUCGAGAUUCCUGCCUCAAUAUCUAGACUUUGCAAUCUUCAGACCUUGAUUGUUUUUCGAGCUUCUUAUGCUGAAAGAUUGUUCUUACCACUGGAACUCUUGAAGAUUACACGGUUAAGGCAUCUCUUGUUCAAUGAAGCUGCCUUUCUUUGUUCUGAUGGUCCACAAAAUGUGAACCUACAAACACUUUCUGGUGUAAUAGACUUCAAAUUGACUCAGGAGGCCCUUCGAACAAUUCCUAAUCUGAGGACAUUGGGAAUUUCUUACCAUUGUGAAACUCAAACUGAGUUGUCAUUCUAUUGUCUUGAGAAUUUAGUCCAUCUGCGUCAACUUGAAAGUUUUAAGUGCAACGUCAUUUCCAGGGAAAACGUUCAUCUGCCUCAGAACCUUGCUUUGCCGUCAAAUCUGAAGAAGUUGACUUUGAGUGGUUGCAGAAUUUCUAUGCAUAAUAUGUUUCUUGUUGGUAAUCUUCCCAAUCUUGAAGUUCUCAAACUAAAAGAGGUUGACCUCGAGAGCAAUGCAUGGAAAACGGAAGGGGAAUUUUCUCGAUUAAAAUUCCUGCAUGUUGAAGCGACUCAGUUUAAAAUCUGGGAAGCCGAGGCAGCACAUUUCCCAAGCUUACAGUGCCUACGUCUUAAAAAUUGCUUUUCUUUAAAAUGCAUCCCUCCUGGAAUUGGAGAAAUUCCAACUCUUCAGCAAAUCUUCUUGUAUAGGUGUUCAACAUCUGUUGUGAAAUCGGCAAAUUCAAUACUAGAGGAACAAGAAGACGGGGGGAACUAUGACCUUGAGGUUCAUGUCCUUUCCAAUUAUUAUGGAAACAUACCUUUCCCUGCUUACUACUAUCAUAAGGAGAGAAAAUUUAUAAAGGAACUGACAGAACACCUGCGACAUAUGAGUUUGUAUGGUAUUCAAUGUUAAAUCCUAACCACCGAGCAAAACAUGUCGCUGCCUCCUCUUCUCUAAGGUUAACUUACUUAUAUUUCUCAAUUGUUUCAGUUUCCUUAAAAGCUUUUUGGAUGUGCAUUUCUUUGAGACGUACAUGUUUAAUGAUGAAAGAACAUCUGUUAUGUAAAACUUUCUCCAGAAUAUAAUAUAUUUAAAAACCCAACUAUCCAUUAACUCAACAAAUAGUUGUGACAUUAUGUACAAAAUUGUUGUUAUAAUAAGUCAUAUUACAUUUCCAAAUGCACUUGUCUGAAUGUGACGGUUCAUCAUGGUUGGAUCCUUGUUUGGUGCUGAAAACCUGGCUCAAUUUUAGUUUAGUAGUAGGAUUGAGAGUCAUUUAGCCUCCAUUUGGCAAGCUUUAUAAAUUAAUUUGUAAAUGGUCAAAUUUUAUUUUUAACCACACAUUUUAAUGGAUAACCACUCUAUCUAUUUAUAUACUCCCUCCAUCUCAUUUAUAUAGGUUGACUUUUUAUUUUUUUUUCCAAUUAUAUAGUUAUUUUUUUUAUUGAGAAUGUUUUGUUUAGUUUGUCUACUAAUAUGCUCUUAUUCAAUUUGCUUAAUUAUAACCAAUUUUUUUUACCUAAUCUUGAAAUUGUACAAAUAAAGGUAAAAAUUGCUUUUUUAAUAACAUUCAAUAAGAUUUCUUAAUUCGUGGGAAAAACAAUACCAACCUAUAUAAAUGCUAUAGGAGUGUCAAAUUGUGUAUAAAUUCUUUCCAAACGGCCUAUUUGUUCUAUAAGCUCUAACUUGAGAGGUCCUCAUUACCACUGAAUAAGCAAUGCAACAAUGACACGAGUAACUAGUAUUUCCAAUACUCUUAAGUGAUUGUUAACAAAAAAAAUUCACAGAAUGAAAAUAUUAUCAUUCAAUGAGAUAAUUUUGGUGCAUGCACGUAAUUUGAUUUUUAUCUUUGGAACAUGCAUGGCAAAAAAACUAAAUGAGCAACGCACGGGCCUUGGCCACACACAGACCAGCCAAAAGUUGCAACAAGACUUAACUGAAUUUUCAUCGUUAUACACCUGGAACAGACGUUCAAUAUUCCUGGAAUGGACACUCAGUUAGCUUCAAGCACAUGUGGUUCCUUAAAAGCUUUUUGGAUGCCCACUUCUUUGAGACGUACACCUUUAACGAUGAAAGAACAUCUGUUAUGUAAAACUUUUUCCAGUAUAUAAUAUUUUUAAAAACCAAACUAUCUAUUAAUUUAACAAAUAUUUGUGUCAUUAUGUACAAAAUUGUUAUAAUAAUUCAUAUUGUCAUCUUUGAUUCAUAAAUAAUUGUAUGCAUAUUGUGAAGAAACAGUUGUACGAGAUGACAUUAUAUUUGUUUA